GCCAGGCACGGUGGUGCAUGCCUGUAAUCCCAGCAGCUCGGGAGGCUGAGGCAGGAAGACCGACAGUUCAAAGCCAGCCUCAGCAAAAGUGAGCACCUAAGUACCUCAGUGAGACCCUGUCUCUA
rnacentral:sRNA from 1 species